GAUGAACGCUGGCGGCGUGCCUAAUACAUGCAAGUCGAGCGAACAGACGAGAAGCUUGCUUCUCUGAUGUUAGCGGCGGACGGGUGAGUAACACGUGGAUAACCUACCUAUAAGACUGGGAUAACUUCGGGAAACCGGAGCUAAUACCGGAUAAUAUUUUGAACCGCAUGGUUCAAAAGUAAAAGACGGUCUUGCUGUCACUUAUAGAUGGAUCCGCGCUGCAUUAGCUAGUUGGUAAGGUAACGGCUUACCAAGGCAACGAUGCAUAGCCGACCUGAGAGGGUGAUCGGCCACACUGGAACGGAGACACGGUCCAGACUCCUACGGGAGGCAGCAGUAGGGAAUCUUCCGCAAUGGGCGAAAGCCUGACGGAGCAACGCCGCGUGAGUGAUGAAGGUCUUCGGAUCGUAAAACUCUGUUAUUAGGGAAGAACAUAUGUGUAAGUAACUGUGCACAUCUUGACGGUACCUAAUCAGAAAGCCACGGCUAACUACGUG
rnacentral:rRNA from 1 species